UAAGGAUCACUUAUUCAUAAAAAUAAUGGAUCAGUGAUUGUUCAGAUAUAUCGUGUUGCGGGUAGCUGGUGCACAAUCUUUUAAACCUUUCCCAGUAGUUGGGGAGGCUCUCGGUGUCCUUUUGUUUGAUGUUGCAUAUUUCUCUUCUUAUCCCAACAGCUUGGGAGGCAGGGAAGAAUUUAUUUAGGAACAAUGUGGCCAU
rnacentral:lncRNA from 1 species